CGGAAUUGAACCUGGGACCCUUCAGUCCCUAGGCCAACGCUCUAUCCACUGAGCCAAACCAGCCAGGGCCAAACUGGUGUUUCUCCCUUUAUCUAAAAUCAAUCUUUUUUUUUUUUUUUAAGAAGGAGAAAAAUCUACCCUUUCCAGAGAGAGCCUUGGCUAGUUUGAUGGUAAUUAUCUUCUGCCUUGAGGAGUACAGAAUGUUUCUGGAGAGGAGGCAAUGUUGAAGACACAGUUGUCCAGCAGGAGAAUUUCAGGCCUGAAAAGUUCCCUAAACUGAGACCUUCAUUCUCACCUCUUCCUGGUAGUGAUGAUUCAGGAGGCACUUGCUAUUCUCCAGACAUGGAGCCUGGACCUGUCUCCCUUGGCACCAGCCUAAGGGAGGCUGGACAAAGCACAGAGGCUCAUUCUGGCCCUGGGUGCAUCCUUCUGCCCACCUUCUAUCUCUGCCUGUGGUUGAUAUUCAUGUCCUAUUCCCAGAACCUGUUAGUAUCUUAGCUUAUAUGCCAAAAGGGACUUUGAAGAUAUGGUUGAAGAUCUUGAGGUGGGGAGAUGAUUCUGGAUUGUCUCAGUGGACCCCAUAUAACUACAAAGACAUGUAAUCAGAAUGUAAUUCUCAUAAGAGGAAACAGGAGAAUUAGAGAAGGAUGGAAGCAGAGGUCCGAGGAGUGAAGAUGCUAUGCUGCUGGCUUGAUGAUGGAGGAAGGGGCCAUGAACCAAGGAAUGCAAGCCGCCUCUAGAACCUGGAAAAGGCCAAGAAGCAGAUUCUCCCCUAGAGACUCCAGAAGGUAUGCAAGCUUGGCAACAUUUUGACUUUUAAUUUAGCCCAAUGAAACUGAUUUCAGAGCUGUGGCCUCCAGAACUGUAAGCUAAUGCAUUUGUGUUAUUUUAAGCAAUUAAGUUUAUGGUAAUUCAUUACAGCAGCAAUAGGAAACUAGUAUGCUGGGCAGUACUAAUCUGUUCUCCUAGGAAAGUAAGGUUUGUGAGAGUGGGAAGUGGAGAGGUAGAUUUCCUAGAAGCCCCUGCAAUCAAACUGAACUAGGUUCAUAUUACCAUUCAUUUAUUACUUAUAUUACUACCUGAGCAAAUGUCUAAGCAACAAUACAUUGAUAAUAAUGCAUUGCUUAUAGGAUUGCUAAGAAUUAAAUGUUUCAAAUUACCUAAUUACCCACUUAAAAAAAA